UACGUAGGCAGCGAGCGUUGUUCGGAGUUACUGGGCGUAAAGGGUGCGUAGGCGGUUGUUUAAGUUUGGUGUGAAAUCUCCCGGCUCAACUGGGAGGGUGCGCCGAAUACUGAAUGACUAGAGUGCGGGAGAGGAGAGUGGAAUUCCUGGUGUAGCGGUGAAAUGCGUAGAUAUCAGGAGGAACACCGGUGGUGUAGACGGCUCUCUGGACCGUAACUGACGCUGAGGCACAAAGCGUGGGUAGCAAACAGG
rnacentral:rRNA from 1 species